GGAAGAAGGAGUCCAUACUCACCAUGUUGGCAGAAAAAACGGGUUCACAGCAUAGCAGAGAAAACUGUUGUGGUCUCUGUGACUAGGUCCUUUCUUCAGUGCAACGGCUCUUCUUCUUUAAAAGGUGUACGGCCCGACGUAGAUGGAGAGUCUGAGGGCGGAGCUUGUCUGAUAGUUGUUCUGGUAGUUGACCAGGGGGUUAAUGGACACCAUCUCCAGGUCCAACGUGUACUCUCUGGGCCCUGACACGGCACGGGCCAGCACCAGCAUGGCGCUGAUGUUAUUGAUUUGCUGGGGAAGACAGAUAAUAAUGGAGUGUUAAAGCAGAGUGGCAUUUACACUGGUGCUCUUCUCACUGUCACAUGUCAAAGUGUCUUCUUUUAAAACGUCUUAUCACCUCUAUAUGAGGAUCCCACUCUCCUCACCCUGAUGUAAAAGUCUCCGUUUUCGUCACCAGAGCGGAUGCGGAAGGUGUUGUAAGCCCUCGCAGAGACGCUGGUAGCCUGAAUCUGGAAGAU